rnacentral:rRNA from 1 species
UACAGAGGGCUCAAGCGUUGUUCGGAUUCAUUGGGCGUAAAGGGUGCGUAGGCGGUCCAUCGCGUCGGGAGUGAAAAGCUGGGGCUUAACCCCAGUCCUGCUUCCGAUACGGGUGGACUGGAGGUAGGCAGGGGAGAAAGGAAUUCCGGGUGUAGCGGUGGAAUGCGUAGAGAUCCGGAAGAACACCGGUGGCGAAGGCGGCCUGCUGGGCAGUAGCUGACACUGAGGCGCGACAGCGUGGGGAGCAAACAGG